CCGGCGCACGGGUGAGUAACGCGUAUCCAACCUGCCUUACACUCUUGGACAGCCUUCUGAAAGGGAGAUAAUACAAGAUGUUAUCAUGAGUAAGCAUUUUCACAUGAUUAAAGGUUUACCGGUGUAAGAUGGGGAUGCGUUCCAUUAGAUAGUAGGCGGGGUAACGGCCCACCUAGUCUUCGAUGGAUAGGGGUUCUGAGAGGAAGGUCCCCCACAUUGGAACUGAGACACGGUCCAA
rnacentral:rRNA from 1 species